rnacentral:rRNA from 1 species
GGAUGAGCCUGCACUUGAUUAGUUUGUUGGUGGGGUAAUGGCCUACCAAGACUGUGAUCAAUAGCUGAUUUGAGAGGAUGAUCAGCCACAUUGGGACUGAGACACGGCCCAAACUCCUACGGGAGGCAGCAGUGGGGAAUCUUGCACAAUGGAGGAAACUCUGAUGCAGCGAUGCCGCGUGAGUGAAGAAGGCCUUUGGGUUGUAAAGCUCUUUCGUCGGGGAAGAAAAUGACUGUACCCGAAUAAGAAGGUCCGGCUAACUUCGUGCCAGCAGCCGCGGUAAUACGAAGGGACCUAGCGUAGUUCGGAAUUACUGGGCUUAAAGAGUUCGUAGGUGGUUGAAAAAGUUGGUGGUGAAAUCCCAGAGCUUAACUCUGGAACUGCCAUCAAAACUUUUCAGCUAGAGUAUGAUAGAGGAAAGCAGAAUUUCUAGUGUAGAGGUGAAAUUCGUAGAUAUUAGAAAGAAUACCAAUUGCGAAGGCAGCUUUCUGGAUCAUUACUGACACUGAGGAACGAAAGCAUGGGUAGCGAAGAGGAUUAGAUACCCUCGUAGUCCAUGCCGUAAACGAUGUGUGUUAGACGUUGGAAAUUUAUUUUCAGUGUCGCAGCGAAAGCGAUAAACACACCGCCUGGGGAGUACGACCGCAAGGUUAAAACUCAAAUGAAUUGACGGGGACCCGCACAAGUAGUGGAGCAUGUGGUUUAAUUCGAAGAUACGCGCAGAACCUUACCAACACUUGACAUGUUCGUCGCGACUCUAAGAGAUUAGAGUUUUCGGUUCGGCCGGACGAAACACAGGUGCUGCAUGGCUGUCGUCAGCUCGUGUCGUGAGAUGUUGGGUUAAGUCCCGCAACGAGCGCAACCCUCACUUUUAGUUGCCAUCAUUAAGUUGGGCACUCUGAAAGAACUGCCAGUGAUAGCUGGA